ACAGGUGCUGCAUGGCUGUCGUCAGCUCGUGUUGUGAAAUGUUGGGUUAAGUCCCGCAACGAGCGCAACCCUUAUCCUUUGUUGCCAGCGGUCCGGCCGGGAACUCAAAGGAGACUGCCAGUGAUAAACUGGAGGAAGGUGGGGAUGACGUCAAGUCAUCAUGGCCCUUACGACCAGGGCUACACACGUGCUACAAUGGCGCAUACAAAGAGAAGCGACCUCGCGAGAGCAAGCGGACCUCAUAAAGUGCGUCGUAGUCCGGAUUGGAGUCUGCAACUCGACUCCAUGAAGUCGGAAUCGCUAGUAAUCGUGGAUCAGAAUGCCACGGUGAAUACGUUCCCGGGCCUUGUACACACCGCCCGUCACACCAUGGGAG
rnacentral:rRNA from 1 species